UAUAAGGGAUUUUGAGUUUUUGCUUACAACGUUUAACCACUCGUCUUAUUCAAAUUUUUUUGAAAUUAUUAAUUAUUUUAUUUGUGACUUACUUUAUUAUCUACAGUACUUUAAGCACAACUUUUCGUUUUUUAUAUCUGCAAAAAAAAUUUGAAUAAGACGAGUGGUCAAACGUUAUAAGCAAAAACU
rnacentral:pre_miRNA from 1 species